AUAAUGAGAAGUUCUAGUAUUCAUUCCAUUUUUUUUGCAUCUCAGUUUUCAAAUGGAGGAAGUGCCUGAAUAAUCUCUGCUAGCUAACAGCAUGGUUGUUAAUGUCAUCAUUUUUGCCCCCUGCCAGCAGCAGAGCUGGAAAAGCAAGAUUUGGAUUUUGAGUUUUUAGCUUGCGCAGCAAAGUAGCCAGGAUGGUGUCGAAUGAAUUAUUUACGUUGGCAGAGCCUGCAGUUAAUUCAUCUGACCCCAAUACUGGAGAAGCUCUGCCACAAUGGACAACUCCCAAACAUUUUCACUGUGAAUUUUGUCUUUGUACAAUGUAGGGAAAUUUAACUUGCAUACCCUUGCUGUGUAUUAACUUCAUAUAGUCAAAUAUGUGCCUGUCCAUACCGGUGCUGAGGAGAGAAGAUGAAACAAGUCCAUGUGCAUUAAUUGACUGCAAUGACUGGAGGAGGAGCAAUGGGAGAGAGACAUGUCUUCAAUGUGUUCCGUUUUUCUGCUUUAGUUGUACCUUUUAUUAUUAAUAGUCAUUUACUGUCUUCAUUUAGCAUUUUUUAUACAGAUGACAUCACUGAAUACAAAUGUGUAUAUCAGGUCCCAUAAUGGAGCAAAAACGUAUAUCGCCUAAGUUUUAAUUUUGUGAGUAUCACAUAUGAUGAAUUCAUCAGUAAGAAUAAACCUGUAAUUUUACUGGAUUUAAACAUUUGCCAGUGUCUAUUAGUGAGAGCUUCCACUGAGUAACCUCCCAAACCUCUGGAAUCAG